rnacentral:pre_miRNA from 1 species
GCGCGGCAGCCGAGCGAGGGCCUCGGGGCGAAGCCGCGGGAGAGCCCGAGGGGGUGACGUCAUGCCCCGAGGCCCCCCCCUCCCGCGC